rnacentral:rRNA from 1 species
AGAGUUUGAUCCUGGCUCAGGAUGAACGCUAGCGGCAGGCUUAACACACGCAAGUCGAGGGGUAACAUUGUGCUUGCACAGAUGACGACCGGCGCACGGGUGCGUAACGCGUAUAGAACCUACCUUUUACAGAGGAAUAGCCUUUAGAAAUGAAGAUUAAUGCCUCAUAGUAUUGUAGACUGGCAUCAGUUUAUAAUUAAAGAUUUAUCGGUAAAAGAUGGCUAUGCGUCCUAUUAGUUAGUUGGUGAGGUAACGGCUUACCAAGACAGCGAUAGGUAGGGGUCCUGAGAGGGAGAUCCCCCACACUGGUACUGAGACACGGACCAGACUCCUACGGGAGGCAGCAGUGAGGAAUAUUGGACAAUGGAGGAGGCUCUGAUCCAGCCAUGCCGCGUGUAGGAAGAAUGCCCUAUGGGUUGUAAACUACUUUUAUACAGGAAGAAACACUGGUAUGUAUACCAGCUUGACGGUACUGUAAGAAUAAGGACCGGCUAACUCCGUGCCAGCAGCCGCGGUAAUACGGAGGGUCCGAGCGUUAUCCGGAAUCAUUGGGUUUAAAGGGUCCGCAGGCGGUCUAUUAAGUCAGAGGUGAAAUCCCAUAGCUCAACUAUGGAACUGCCUUUGAUACUGGUUGACUUGAGUCAUAUGGAAGUAGAUAGAAUGUGUAGUGUAGCGGUGAAAUGCAUAGAUAUUACACAGAAUACCGAUUGCGAAGGCAGUCUACUACGUAUGUACUGACGCUGAGGGACGAAAGCGUGGGGAGCGAACAGGAUUAGAUACCCUGGUAGUCCACGCCGUAAACGAUGGAUACUAGUUGUUGGGAUUUAUCUCAGUGACUAAGCGAAAGUGAUAAGUAUCCCACCUGGGGAGUA